AUUCAAGAUUAUGCUUGACUUCAUUUACAGUGGGGAAAUCAAUUUGGAAGAUAGCAUGGAUUUUGGAGACUUGUUACUUCAGCUUCUUUUAUUAGCUGACAAGUUUGGGGUCACUCUUUUAUAUCAGGAAUGCUUCAAAACACUUUUAGAAUGCCUCUCUGAGGGUUGGAGUUCUCCUAGUGGAAGAAGAUCACACAACAACAGUUUUUCUAUUAUGCAAAAGUUUAAUGGAAGACGAAGCAGAAUUUCGGAAGUUAAUUGCGCUUUUGCUUUAGAAGCUAACUAUUAAACUUUGUUGCAGGACUCAGUAUGUCCAAUCUUGCUUACUGUUUCAUCAUUUCCAUCGUGUAAACUCAUUGAAGAAACCUGUGAGAGGAAAUUUGCAAUGAACUUCGAUUAUUGUACAACUGCAAGCCUUGACUUCAUCUUGUUAGAUGAGACAACUUUGAGCAGUAUCAUUCAGCAUCAAGAGCUAACAGUAACAUCAGAAGAAAGAAUUCUCGAUGCAAUUUUGAUGUGGUGCAUGGGAGCUAAGGAGUUGUGUGGGUGGGAGAUGGUGGAUGAGCUACUAGCAAAUUCAACUCCUGAACUCAUUUUUCAAGAGAGGAUUAAAUCUCUUAAUGAAUUAUUGCCAUUUGUGAGAUUUCCCUUACUGCCAUAUCACAUGCUGAAGAAGGUAUGUAGGCCCUGGAUAUGGGGAGAGCUAUUGUCUGGUCUAUUAAGAUUAUGGUUAUAAGCUGGCACCGUUAUUUUGCAGUUGGGGCAGAGCAAUCUUAGCAAGCACAUUCACAUUUUUGAUAAUCUUGUAAGUUAUGCAACUUGUUGGAGAAUAUAAUACUUGGUGAACAAGUCUAUAUGGACAAUUUCUUUUCAUUAUUAAUUGUCUUAUAUGUUAAUGUUACAGGUGAGGGAGGGUAUCAAUUAUGUAGAAUUUGGAUUAGCAAUGGCAGAAAGUGACCAAAAGUAAGUAUCUGUAAUUGUUGUCAUUUUUCAUAAAUUUGUGACAUUGAUGAAAGGAUGGCCUGGCCUUCAAAAUCUGAAUCAAGUACUUGUGCCUUUUUGUUUUCACCUUCCGUCCAAAGAAUAGUAAAUGAAGAGCUAAGGAUGAAAUUGCACCUCAAGAAAUUUCACUUGAACAUGCAUCUGGAUGUCACCUUUUUAAUGCUAUAAAUUUGUAUCUCUAUGAAAGAUGCAACUCCAAUUCUUCUUGGAUCCAAAUGAUUGUUGUUUAUGGGGAAUCCCUUAAAUACAUUGCAUACAGCAAUUAUUGAGAAAAAUCUCUGUAAGUCUGUUGGAUUGCUUCAACAAAUUUUGUCUAAUGUGAGGGGAAAAAUUGUAUCAUUAUUAAAUUAACGGCUGUUUUAGCUUUUUGAGGGAUUUCUUUCAUUGGGGUGAUUGAGCAUUUUGUUACAAUAAUGUUGUAUUAUGUAUUUGACUUAUUUGUUACUUCGAUUAUAUUUGAAGAAGACAUAACUAACAUCUUCUGUCCUGUUCAGCGAACGGUUUCAACAUAGGCGAUCAAGUUAUAAGGAGCUCCAGUAUAUAUGUGAUGGUGACAGCAAUGGAGUUCUGUACUUUGCUGGUACAUCUUAUGGGGAACACCAGUGGGUUAAUCCUGUUUUGUCUAAGGUGAUUUUUUUUGGGGGGCAUUUCUUUAUAAUAAAUGAAUGGGACAUGUUUGAUACAGUUUAUAUAUAAUCCUGUUAAUUGCAUGUUCCAGCGAAUCACAAUUACAGCAAGCAGUCCUACUUCAAGAUACACCGACCCAAAGGCAUUGGUAUCAAGAACUUACCAGGGAACAUGUUUUACUGGGCCUCGGAUAGAAGAUGGGAAUAAAUGUGCAUGGUGGAUGGUUGACUUUGGUCAAGAUCAUCAGCUCAUGUGCAACUGCUACACUCUGAGACAAGAUGGAUCAAGAGCCUACAUAAGAUUUUGGAAUUUCCAGGGUUCUCUUGAUGGGAAAAGCUGGACAAACUUGAGAGUACAUGAGGACGAUCAAACCAUUUGCAAGCCUGGUCAGUUCGCAUCAUGGGUCUUAACUGGGCCUACUUUCCUACUUCCCUUCAGAUUCUUUAGGGUUGUUCUGACUGGGCCUACUACAGAUGCGUCGGUUCCCUGGAACUUAUGCAUCUGCUACUUGGAACUCUAUGGCUUCUUCCGUUGAUUUCAUGAAUUUCCACCGGAUUAUGUGUUUGCAAUAAGUUGUGCUGAUAAUAACGAUUCCAUCAUGUAAAGUUCUUCAAGUAUGACAAUACAAGAUCAAUGAUGGAGUUUUCCACAAUCCCUGAUAAAUAAGAAUAUGCUAUAGUGAACAAUCUUUAAAGCCAUGCCUUGCAAAUUGUUUUUCUUUUUCUUAACAAAUAUAUUUGCAAUACUUGAAUAGAAUCAAACUGUUAUUUUCUUUUAUGUCAAAUUGUCACUGUCAAAACUAAAUGUGUGUUUAGCAAGAGAUUGAUAUCCAAAACCGAGCAGAUUUAGAAGUGAUGAAAAAAAUAAAAUUAGAGACAUUGCUUUCAAAGUUCAAUGAGAAUUUACAUAGAAAUAUGAUAAAUUAUAAAAUACUUUUUAUGUAUUAAAAAAAUAGUAUAUUUUUUACUUAAAAUAUGAAAAAUGGGUCCUAAAUAUUAUAGCGAUGCCCGCUACACAGAGAUCCUCCAAGAGUACAGUUCCCAUGCAUAAGGUUAGGGUGUCAACGAAAAGAAUGCUUAUUGCCACACAAAUUUUUGGCACAGGAGUAGAAACUAUAUGAUAUUCAAAUUGAAAUACAUGCGUACAAGCAUAGAGCAGUCAUCUACAGACCAGGCAUUACGAUUCCAUCUCUCCCCAUUACAAAAAUUACACCAAAUUCGAGGGAUAUUAAGAGCAGGGACCCUAAUUUAAGCAGGCAGGCGAAAUGAGAGAAAGAAGCUCUAGAUCAAAUCAUGGUAAGGCAUCACCUCCUAACAGCAGGCACAGCACCUCUCCCAGGUGCUGCACGCCCAGCAGCU
rnacentral:misc_RNA from 1 species